rnacentral:tRNA from 1 species
CAGGUAGCUCAGUUGGUAGAGCAGCGGACUGAAAAUCCGCGUGUCGGUGGUUCGAUCCCGCCCCU